GGCGAACGCUGGCGGCAGGCCUAACACAUGCAAGUCGAACGGAUCCUUCGGGAUUAGUGGCGGACGGGUGAGUAACACGUGGGAACGUGCCCUUUGGUUCGGAACAGCUCAGGGAAACUUGAGCUAAUACCGGAUGUGCCCUUCGGGGGAAAGAUUUAUCGCUAUUGGAGCGGCCCGCGUCUGAUUAGCUAGUUGGUGAGGUAAAGGCUCACCAAGGCGACGAUCAGUAGCUGGUCUGAGAGGAUGAUCAGCCACAUUGGGACUGAGACACGGCCCAAACUCCUACGGGAGGCAGCAGUGGGGAAUCUUGCGCAAUGGGCGAAAGCCUGACGCAGCCAUGCCGCGUGAAUGAUGAAGGUCUUAGGAUUGUAAAAUUCUUUCACCGGGGACGAUAAUGACGGUACCCGGAGAAGAGGCCCCGGCUAACUUCGUGCCAGCCGCCGCUGUAACAC
rnacentral:rRNA from 1 species